rnacentral:rRNA from 1 species
UCUCAAAGAUUAAGCCAUGCAUGUGUAAGUGUAAAUUGUUAAGUUUGGAACUGCGAAUGGCUCAUUAUAUCAGUUAUAGUUUAUUUGGUGAAGUGUACUACUUGGAUAACCGUAGUAAUUCUAGGGCUAAUACAUGAGAAAGUCCUCUGGUGAGGUGUGUUUAUUAGAAUGAAAACCAUAUGCUUCGGCAUGAUAGUGAGUAAUAGUAACCUAUCGUAUCGCAUGCUUAAUGUAGCGAUGAGUCUUUCAAGUUUCUGCCCUAUCAGCUUUCGAUGGUAGUAUAUGGGCCUACCAUGGCAGU